rnacentral:rRNA from 1 species
AGUGAACGCUGGCGGCGUGCCUAAUACAUGCAAGUCGAACGGAGUGGCGCACGGGUGAGUAAUGUAUAGCUAAGCUGCCCUACACUAGAGGACAACAGUUGGAAACGACUGCUAAUACUCUAGAUUGUAGGAUGAGGCUAUAUUGUAUCAGCUAGUUGGUGAGGUAAUGGCUCACCAAGGCUAUGACCAAUAACUGGUCUGAGAGGAUGAACAGUCAGACUGGAACUGAGGCACGGUGCGGACUCCUUCGGGAGGCAGCAGUAGGGUAUAGUUCUCAAGGUGGGAAUCCCUGAAGCGGCAUCGCGGCGUGAAGUAUGUCACUUUUCGAGGCGUAAACUCCUUUUGUUAGGGACGCGGUACCUAACGAAUAAGCACCGGCUAACUCCGUGCCAGCAGCCGCGGUAAUAC